AGAGUUGAUUAUGGCUCAGGAUGAACGCUAGCUACAGGCUUAACACAUGCAAGUCGAGGGGCAUCAGAUCGAAAGCUUGCUUUGAUGCUGGCGACCGGCGCACGGGUGAGUAACGCGUAUCCAACCUUCCCUAUAGUAGAGAAUAGCCCGGCGAAAGUCGGAUUAAUGCUCUAUGUUGUAUUUAGAGGACAUCUGAAGAAUACCAAAGGUUUACCGCUAUAGGAUGGGGAUGCGUCUGAUUAGGUAGUAGGCGGGGUAACGGCCCACCUAGCCGACGAUCAGUAGGGGUUCUGAGAGGAAGGUCCCCCACAUUGGAACUGAGACACGGUCCAAACUCCUACGGGAGGCAGCAGUGAGGAAUAUUGGUCAAUGGACGGAAGUCUGAACCAGCCAAGUAGCGUGCAGGAUGACGGCCCUAUGGGUUGUAAACUGCUUUUAUAUAGGGAUAAAGUCGGGGACGUGUCCCCGUUUGUAGGUACUAUAUGAAUAAGGACCGGCUAAUUCCGUGCCAGCAGCCGC
rnacentral:rRNA from 1 species